CUGUUUAUCUGUUCCUAGAGAUGCUAGAAUUCUGGAGAAUUUUAUCUUUGAAAAUCUUUAAAAUGUUGCAUGAUGAGUUCCUGUAUGUGAGAGUUUAAAUUCCUACCACAGCCAUAUAUACAUGUUUGCUAGACUUUGAGCCACACAUUUACUAUUUACUACUUAUGAGCAUUGAGUAUGGUCAAGCUGUGUAGACCCUUAGGAGCUUGUCAUGUGGUUAAAUCAAGAUUUCACUUGCACGUUCACUCAUAUAUGCUACUUCUACUCCUGAAGUACCAUCCACAUAUAUCCACUCAUUUCCAUCUCCAGAAUCACCUAAAAAUAUUCUACUCCUAAUCCGGGAGAGAAUAACCAAAAAUAUUUCUGUUUUCCCUUGUGAAAUAAAUGCUCAAGUUAUCUUUUUACUACCACUUGCUAUAUUAUCUCAAGAGAUGAGUGCUCUAAAAAAAAUAAGAAAUACGAGGAAAUAAAAAGGGGCAAGUGCCCGGAACCUCAAAAGAAAAGAAAAAGUGAGACGAGAGGUAAAAAUGGACAAGUGUCCGACAGUAGAAUUAGGGGUACAAGAUACCCACCUGAGAGAAAAGAAAAAGAAGAGCAUCUCAUUCUCCUCACUAUUCAAAAAGCAAGGAAGGUAUGUAUCCCCUCAAAGAGCAAAAGUAGAAUUAGACUUCCACCAUUGUUAUCACCAUCAUCACCAUACACCAUUCAUUCGCCACACAUGCACAUCUUGAUUUGGCUUAUUGAUUUGUUUCUUUGGAUCCAUGGUUUGACUAUACAAUACAUGUCUUGUAAGUAUGUAUACUUUAUCUCCCACCUAUGAGCUCCAGAUAUUAAAGCCUUAUUAGAGUAGGGUGAGAGAGAAGGCAAUGUCACUAUGCCUUAUACCACAAAUACUAUAUAUCUUGAGAGAAGGCAUAUACCAUCACUGUCUUGGUAAGGAUCCAUAAAUACCACAAAAGAGAGAUAUGAGAGAAUCAUACAAGGAAUCUCUGAGUUUUAUUUGAAAAUCUGCAAAAACCCCAGAGCUAUAGCUGAUCAAGAAUAAGAGACAUGGCACUUGACUAGACUGUUCUAUCUUUUAACUACUCAAGACAGAAGUGACGGUUACAAGUCCCAUAGUGAAAGGUAAAGUAAGUAAGUUUUAAGUCUUGACAGUUUACUCUAACUCAGAGAUGAGAUCUUAUUUAAAAAAAGAAGCAUGUGUACCGUCA
rnacentral:lncRNA from 1 species